GAUGAACGCUGGCGGCGUGCCUAAUACAUGCAAGUCGAACGAGUUCUGAUUAUUGAAAGGUGCUUGCAUCUUGAUUUAAUUUUGAACGAGUGGCGGACGGGUGAGUAACACGUGGGUAACCUGCCCUUAAGUGGGGGAUAACAUUUGGAAACAGAUGCUAAUACCGCAUAAAUCCAAAAACCGCAUGGUUCUUGGCUGAAAGAUGGCGUAAGCUAUCGCUUUUGGAUGGACCCGCGGCGUAUUAGCUAGUUGGUGAGGUAACGGCUCACCAAGGCAAUGAUACGUAGCCGAACUGAGAGGUUGAUCGGCCACAUUGGGACUGAGACACGGCCCAAACUCCUACGGGAGGCAGCAGUAGGGAAUCUUCCACAAUGGACGCAAGUCUGAUGGAGCAACGCCGCGUGAGUGAAGAAGGCUUUCGGGUCGUAAAACUCUGUUGUUGGAGAAGAAUGGUCGGCAGAGUAACUGUUGUCGGCGUGACGGUAUCCAACCAGAAAGCCACGGCUAACUACGUGCCAGCAGCCGCGGUAAUACGUAGGUGGCAAGCGUUAUCCGGAUUUAUUGGGCGUAAAGCGAGCGCAGGCGGUUUUUUAAGUCUGAUGUGAAAGCCCUCGGCUUAACCGAGGAAGUGCAUCGGAAACUGGGAAACUUGAGUGCAAAAGAGGACAGUGGAACUCCAUGUGUAGCGGUGAAAUGCGUAGAUAUAUGGAAGAACACCAGUGGCGAAGGCGGCUGUCUGGUCUGUAACUGACGCUGAGGCUCGAAAGCAUGGGUAGCGAACAGG
rnacentral:rRNA from 2 species